rnacentral:rRNA from 1 species
AUUGAACGCUGGCGGAAUGCUUUACACAUGCAAGUCGAACGGCAGCACGGGGCAACCUGGUGGCGAGUGGCGAACGGGUGAGUAAUACAUCGGAACGUGCGCAAUCGUGGGGGAUAACGUAGCGAAAGUUACGCUAAUCCCGCAUACGAUCUACGGAUGAAAGCGGGGGAUCGCAAGACCUCGCGCGAAUGGAGCGGCCGAUGUCAGAUUAGGUAGUUGGUGGGGUAAAGGCUCACCAAGCCAACGAUCUGUAGCUGGUCUGAGAGGACGACCAGCCACACUGGGACUGAGACACGGCCCAGACUCCUACGGGAGGCAGCAGUGGGGAAUUUUGGACAAUGGGCGCAAGCCUGAUCCAGCCAUUCCGCGUGCAGGAUGAAGGCCUUCGGGUUGUAAACUGCUUUUGUACGGAACGAAACGGCUCUCUCUAAUACAGGGGGCUAAUGACGGUACCGUAAGAAUAAGCACCGGCUAACUACGUGCCAGCCGCCGCAGUAACAC